rnacentral:rRNA from 1 species
GGGGAGAUUCAGCCCCGUCCGCGUCGGCCGACCCACGAGCGGUUGCUCCCGGAUGUUCCCGACCGCUGGUCGUGCCGCAAGGUGCGCUCCGGUGCGAGUCGGGCGCACCGGCCGCCCGUGCUCUAAAGACGCGACGGGGUACACUUCUGGCCUCGAUUUGGACGUCGCGACCCGUCGGAGGAUUCUACGGACGAAGCGGCCUAAGGCCCGGGAGAGAGGCCGGGGGUGCUUCCGCUGAGGCGCGGGUCAAAGGUGCCCUCGGACCCCGGUUAAAGCCAGGCCGCCCUCCGACGGUCUUUAUGUCAAGGAGGAUAAAGGCUAGCUACCUCGCCUCUGGCGAGGAGCGAGCGUCCGACCCGUCGGGGCAAGCUCUCCGGGGGACUAUUCCGGGUGUCGCGUGGCUUACGUCACGCCCCCGGAGCCGGUAGGCUGCUGGCCCGAGGCCAUCUCGGACAAUGGCCACUCCAGACAGCGGAGGUUCUGCUUCGGGUACUCUCCCGACCCGUCUUGAAA